rnacentral:rRNA from 1 species
GACGAACGCUGGCGGCGCGCUUAACACAUGCAAGUCGAGCGAAUCGGCGGACUGGUGAGUAACACGUGAUUAACCUGCCUUAGACCUUGGGAUAGCCUCGGGUAACCGGGAUUAAUACCAAAUGGUCUAAGAUGGACUCGCGUCCCAUUAGCUAGUUGGGAGGUAACGGGCCACUAAGGCGACGAUGGGUAGCCUGGCUGGGAGGGUGAACGGCGACAUUUACACUGGGCAACAGUCCAAACUCUACGGGAGGGAGCAGUGGUGGAUAGUGCACCAUGGAGGGAACUCUGAUGCAGCGACGGCGGGAGAACGAAGAAGGCUUUCGAGAAGUAAAGUUAUUUUAUAUGGGAAGCGGUACCAGAAGAAAAAGCCCCGGCUAACUACGUGCCAGCAGCCGCGGUAAUUC